CAAACCCUUACUUAUAAUUGACCCCCCAAAAAAAACCCUUACUCAUAAAAUAAAAAUAAUAAAUAAAUAAAAGAGACUCAAACCCUUGUUAAGCUCCCGCUCCCACUCUGUGUCUGGUGCUGCCUCUCAUCUUCUUCAUUGUCUCAUAUCUCCCAACUUCCAAAGGAAGGCAACCGAUCAGCUCCUUUCCCGUUAAACCCGCAAUUGGAAGAUAAGCAGAGGGACAAAGUUUUGCUUUUUAGGGUUUUUUAGUAGAGCUUCAUCAUCCAAUUGAAGAACUGAACAGAGCCAAAUAA